rnacentral:ncRNA from 1 species
UAAAUUUGAUUCUAGUUUGAGAAGUGUUAAAAAGAUAUUAUUUAAUUUUAAUUUAUUUUAUAGACAAUAAAUUUUAAUCUUGAUAUUUUAUAAUUUGUAUAAUUUUUGUUCCAGAAUAAUCGGCUAAACUUUAAAAAUUUUAACUUUAUUUAAUUUUUAUUUUAAAAAAAAGGAAAAAAUGUUUAUAAUAUUUUAUUUAUUUAUAGUGAAAUAAAAAUAAUUUUUUAAAGUUUUUAAAAUAAUAAAUUUAAAGAAAUGAAUUAGAUUAGUCCCUAAGUAAUUUAAAUUUAAAAUCUCAGUAGUAAAGUAGAAUUUAAACUGAAAGAAUUUUGGCAGGAAACUAAUUUUUUUUUGGAGGUUGAGUUUUAAUUUGAGAGUCCUCAUUUUUAGCUUUAAUUUUUAGUUUAUGUAUGAUUAUUUAUUUAAAUUUUAAAAAUUUAAAAUUAAAAUUAAUUAUUAUUAUUUUUUUUUUAUUUUUAAAAAUAAAUAAAUACUUAAUUUAUGUUAAAGUAUCAUUUGACCUACAAUUUUUUUUAAAUAGUUAUAAUUUAAUAAAUUUAAAUAUAUAAAUUGGAAAAAAAAGUAAAAUAAUUUUAAUACUUAUUUGAAUUUUUUUUAGUUUCGGUACAAAUUAUCCAUCAAUUGCCUAAAGGGGAGUAAGUUGUAGUAAAGUAAAAGUAAAGGAAUUUGUUUUUAGAAU